ACUAUUCUCCCAACAUUCCCAGCGUGCAUUAUUUAAGAAAUAGAAAAUGAGUCGCGUGCGUUUAUAGUGUGAUAAUGCACGCGGGGAAUGUUGGGAGAAUACGA